UAAUUACCAUUGAUCACAGGAGCUGUCAUAAUUGAAGUCUUCUUUUUAAUCUCUUUACACUGAAGAGUAUGAAAAACAGUGGGAAAACAAUUCAACCUCCAAAUCAGGCAGAACGGAGAAUGGCAAUGGAAAGUUAACAUUUCUGCUGGGCUCCGUCCGGAGUUCAAACAUAUGAAAGCUAUAGACCGUACAAACGCAAUAAGACAUCUAAUUCUUUUACAAACGGUCACACCCACUCGGGCUGACUGCAAAAUCUAUCAUAAUUGGAAGCAGAGUUGCUGUUCUUUAAUGCGCUUGGGUUUCUUGAAAACCUACAAGGCACCUGCUUUUUAAAGCCUCCCCCCUGAGAUGCUCGCCCCCUAGCCCUGGCGCCUCCCUGGGUACACCUUUGGAGGCUCCCCGGCCUCCACCUGGGCUUCGGUCCUGCGCCCGGGGCCGGGUUGGAGGAAGGGGAGGUCGAGCGGAGGCAGAGAGGAGCGCAAUGGUCCAGUCCCCCUUAACCGUGGCCCCACACGGCGCCCUCCCUCGCGGGGGCUGAGACUGAAGAGGAAGUGGGGAGGCUCCGCUCGGUCCGCGCAGCAGCACCCUCAUGCCCCCGCCCUUCUCCUCGGCACCGGGCUCCGGCGCGCCCCCUCCGCUGCCCUCGCCCCGGGAUAGGAGCGGGCGGCGCGGGCGGGCACGCGGAGAGAGGCAGCGGGAAGCGGAUGGCUUGCGCCCCGCAGCAGGUACCCCAACACGCGUGCCCCCGGGCGAGACGGGCCCCAAGCCGAUCCCGGAGACCGCGGCGGCCGGAAGCGCAGAAGCGUCACUUCCGGGCGGUGCAGUGGCCGCCGCUAGGAAGAUGGCUGCGCCCUGUGGCUCGGAGCGGCCCGCCAACUCGCCGCUCAAAAUCCCGAAGAUGGAGGUGCUGUCCCCGGCCUCUCCUGGUGGCCUGAGCGACGGGAACCCUUCGCUGUCCGAUCCUUCCACGCCUCGGGGCGCCUCCCCGCUCGGGCCGGGCAGUGCGGCGGGCUCGGGAGCAGCGGCGUCCGGGGGUCUCGGGCUGGGUCUGGGGGGCCGCAGCGCCGCCUCAUCCUGGGGGGCCCCCGCCGCCGCCUGCCGCGGCAUGUCGUGGACGCCGGCCGAGACCAACGCACUCAUCGCAGUGUGGGGCAACGAGCGGCUGGUGGAGGCGCGGUACCAGCAGCUGGAGGGAGCUGGCACGGUGUUCGGCAGCAAGGCCCCCGGGCCGGCCAUGUACGAGCGCGUGUCCCGGGCCCUGGCCGAGCUGGGCUACGAGCGGACCCCGUCCCAGUGCCGGGAGCGCAUCAAGCUGGUUCGAUGCCCAGAACUGAAUGCUGUGCUCCAGCUGUGGCCUCACCGGUGCUGAAUAGAGAGGAAGAGCCACCUUCAUAGCUUACAUGUGAUUCCUCUGCUUAUACAACCCAAUACUGGAUUUACUUACUUUGGCAAGAUAGCUGCAUCGUGCACUGUAUUUAAUGUUACGUGUACUGUAACCCUGGGUCUUUCUCUGCAUUGCUGCCGUUGAACCCCCAAUCCUGCCCAUCUAAAACUCCUGCCUUUGUUUACCUGCCCCCCUCCCCGUAGACUCCCCUUACAUUCAUCCGCAAUGAAUGUCAUCUUUAUUCUCUCAUUUCUUUUCACUCUAAUCUGAAAAACUUGGGCAAAACUUGCCCUCUGUCUAUAAAUUGUCAGUUGUCAGCCAUCUUAUUUUUCCCCCUGCUUUGGUAAUGGGACAUCUUUCGAAGCUUUUCUUUGGUUCUCCUUUUUGUAGCCAUUAAGCACUUGGCACGGUGGAUUUAGUAAGCAUUCACCUGGCAUUUCUUCCAAAUCAAAUACCUAUGAACUCUUCUGAUUUGACCACCUAAUCAAGUUAUUACUACACUUUGGUUCUUCUAUCUGGAUUCUCUUGACUCCUCAUGACCCCUCUUCCCUGGGACCUCAUUCAAGAUGCAGUACAUCUUACAGUUCUCCCCCCACGGGGGAGACAGUAAUCUUGAUUUACCAUGGAAAUUUCUCACAAUAAGGAAAGUGUUCUCCUUAAUUGUGAAUGAACAGUCUUUAAUAAUUUUAAGCCAGCUCUUUCCCCCUGAGGUCUUCAAUGUUUUAAAAAAUGCUAGAGCUUAAGUUACUAUAAAUUUCUAAGACGAGUGAGCUAAAGAAAGAAGGAAGGGAAACAAGGUUUUUGUGCUGAACAGGAAAUAGGAAAUGGUUCUCCAAGCAAAGCUCAACUGAAGUUCUUGUUGGGUUUGGUGCAGCUGUCUGAAAUGGGAAGUGAGACUUCGUUUUUCCUAGGUUCUGGAGCGCUAUCUUAAUUUCAGAGUUAGAGUGGGUUUUUGAGUUGGUUUAUGUAGGACUGUUGACACAGACACACUGUUAUUUAAUUGUAUGCUUUGGUGGAUCAUUCACAGUGUGGAAAGUGUAACCUGUCUGAUUUAUUAUGGGUGAUAAGAAUUGGAAGGUCUCCGCAUGCCUUUUUUUAUCCAUUUCUAAAGUCCCUCUAGUUUAACUAAAUCCCAGUGUUUCUUACAGUAGCAGUCAAGCUGAUGUUUGAGUGCCUACUUUUUUUUUUUCUAUCUUAGUUAAAGUGUCCUAUGUAAAUAGCCUCUCCUUGAAUCUGUGGUCUUUACUGAACCCAGAAGGUACCUCGUGUAUUUGUUUUCAGAGAGUUAAAAUCAAUUUGGAAAUCUUUUUAACAUUAUUUCAGUACAUCAGAUUUUAUAUGGAUGUAAGAUUACCAAAUAUUUUCCCUUCAGACCCCCUAAUAGAUAUUUUACAUAUCAGCAUAUUAACUAUUAAAGUGUACUACAAAUGUACACUACAAAGAAGUAUAAAAUAUAUCACCUGACUGUUCUUCCAGAUCUAAAACCAUUGGUUAUUACUAGUUUUCUCAUUCACAGUGACAUAAGCCAAGUGCAAUUGUAAGCUCAGUUUGGUGGUUUCAAAGAAAGUAAAUCUUUUCUGUGGUUUCCCACCACGUGUACUGUCAGAGGUUGGUGGCUUUGCUUAUGCCUCCAUCUUGAUAAAUGUGACACCUUUCUUCGAAGGAACUUAGUUGUAUUCCUUGACUUCUGAGAUAAGCCUCAGUGACAGAGCUGACUGGGCUCCAUUGUGUGCCGAGGGCUUUUCUCUAAGGCAGCCGGUCAGGCUUGAGCAGUGGCACACUUUCCAGCUCCAUUUAUGGCCGUGGCAGGGUGAAAGGGACACAGCUGGGUCUCUCCAUUUACGGUCCUUGGAGGAGCGAAAAGAGGGGCUGGGGUGUUCUUGGAGGCAGCAGCUAGACAUUGUGAGAUAAAAAUAAAUUGGCAGCAGAUGUUUGCAAUUCCAGUUCCAAUCUCUGCCAGGAGGACAGAGGGCACUGGGAAAGGGGGGUUUGUAGAAAGGCCAAUGAGGCCUGCUGCCAGCAUUUGUCUCCUUCCAUUGGAAGGGCUGCUGACAACACGUUUCCCAAGUUCAUUUCUGAUUUGUUCUAGGAAGUUGUGUGUUAUGUGCUUGUGACUAUCCUUUACAAAGAGAAGGAAGGACCACUUUUAAAGAAUGUAAUAUCAGAAACCUUCAUUCUUGAAGGCGUCAAUUGACGCACUAGAAGAGAUUUUGAGAGGGAGAAUGAGGAAGGUAUUUAUGCAGGGGGUAGGCUGGCCGGUUUUAGGACGGACGGGGUGACGCUAAUCACUGCUCUGUUUAUGUCUGAGGAAGAUCAUCAUAUGUAUCAUGCUUUUAUUAUUCCCUUUGCCCAUCUGGAUUUCUGGAGUCAAGGGACAGAUCCGCAAAGUAUUUAACAGAGUGUCUUCUUGUGGUUUGUCAACUGUGAUUUAAAGAUACUGAGCUUUCACGGAGGCGCUAUAAAGAUUUUUGAGUUAUUUUAGUUUGGUGAGAAACGGAGAUGUCUUAUGGAAAGUAAUCUCACAUUUAGGAGAAAUUCAUAACCUGGCUAUUGCAUACACAUUAAGUUUUAGGUCAACUGGUUUUGCACAGUUCAGUUAGAAAGCAUUUGGGAGCCACCUGAGAAAAAGGGCCUUGUCUCCGGAAAAUUCCAAGUGGAACCCAGUAGAAUACAAGGAGCAACAGAUGGAAUAGAGACUGAGUGUAACUAAACUAAAUUUGGAAGCUGGGAUAAGUCCUUGAUUUAUCUUUUGAAAUGUCAUGUAAGAUAGCAUAAGAUGUACCAUUAAACUAAGGAAACUGGGCUAAUAAUCAGAAAUAUGCCUUAGAAGAUCAUGAAGAAAAUUGAAGGGUUGUGCAAGAUAAUGAAAUUAUCCAGGUUUUAUCUUUGAACUUGCAUAAUGAUAAUUAUUUGCUGUGUGCCACGAGGCAGGAAAAGAAGUGAAAUUGGUUUGUUCAGCUGGCAGGUGGAGCUGGAAAAUAAGAUUCGUUUUAUUGGCUCAUUUUUAGACAUAGGUAUUCGAGUAUUAUUUCUUGAUAAUGGAUGUUUGAGACUGGGAAUCCGUAGCAUUAUUGAUUUGACCCCUUUUAGCAACUUCCCCAAAGACAGAGUGAGUUAGUUAGGAAUAUGGACUAUGUAAGUAGUAUGUUUUACUAGCUGAUUUGUUUAGGCAAUUGAUUUUAUCCUGUAUUCCUUCUUAAUCGAGAGUAAGGAAGGUGAUAUUCUUUGCUUUGGGAAUUCUUCUUUCUGUCCUCCCUUCCUCCCUUUUUCUAAAUUCUGGCACAACAGCAGCUCUUUCUCUUCUGUGGCAGACCCUUCGCAGGUGUUACAGUCGGGUGAAAGAACAUGGUGUUGGGAAAAGAAAGAGCAGUUACACAUUUGAACAGUUGGAAC